GCCGGCGUAGCUCAGUCGGUAGAGCAGCUGAUUCGUAAUCAGCAGGUCAAGGGUUCAAGUCCCCUCGCCGGCUCCA
rnacentral:tRNA from 1 species